UAGAACGUGGUUGUGCGUUACGACAGUAUAUCGAGUCCCGAGAAAUACGAUCUCGGAUCUAAUGUUCGAAAACUGUUUAAAGUGAAUAUAGAUAGUUAUGAGAACGUUCUGUGAGUUGCAUCGAAUUUAAAAAUAUCCGCAAGUACAUUGAACUUGCCUGAAGAGUGCUCCAUCAACGCCGACCAAGAAUUCUCUGUGCUAUUGGAGUCUCACACCGCCAUUCCACCUUCUUCAGAGAAAUACUGCAUCCAACAGUUUCCUCCUGACUCAACAUGAACAAAACAGUUAUACGGGCAAGAAAUGUUAAAUGACACCGCCAUAAUUGAAGCAAAAACGAAAGUUCCUUGUACGAUACGCAAAUACUUCUGCAGACUGCCGAUGUUUACUUUCGGAGCGUUAUCACUUGAUAAGUUAGAACACAAGCCGCGUGUAAACAUUUUUAUCAUGGUAACAUUCUCAUGAAGACUCCGAGCUGCGAUACAGACUCCGGCGCGAUCUAGUGUAACACGAGAAAUACCUGAGCCCGUUUCAGUGAAAGGAAUCGGGAUGGAUGAGCCAGUUCUAGUUCCGAUCGAAUAGUGAUUGUGUCGUAUUGAUAAGUGAAGCCAAAGAACAAACCAAAGCUGAUUUAGCUGCAAUUCUUAAUUGAUAGUACAUUUUUGACGGCAAACUGGAGGACUUACAGACUUUAGAAAGCGCAGAAAGCGUUAUCGAAAAUGCGACUGCAAGGACCGAGUGCUUGGCGAGGAACGCUAA